UACAGAGGUCCCAAGCGUUGUUCGGAUUCAUUGGGCGUGAAGGGUGUGUAGGUGGCGCCGUAAGUCGGGUGUGAAAUCUCGGGGCUUAACUCCGAAACUGCAUUCGAUACUGCGGUGCUUGAGGACUGGAGAGGAGACUGGAAUUCAUGGUGUAGCAGUGAAAUGCGUAGAGAUCAUGAGGAAGACCAGUGGCGAAGGCGGGUCUCUGGACAGUUCCUGACACUGAGACACGAAGGCCAGGGGAGCAAACGGG
rnacentral:rRNA from 1 species